rnacentral:sRNA from 1 species
AAAGAAAGAUUGUGACAUAUCACUUAAACCAGAACUUAGGUGAUGAGACUCUUCUGUCUAGCAACCACUUAUUUUGGGUAUUGUGACAUUUCACUGGGCCAAACACCUAAAAAAUGGGAGGCCCUGCCUCAGCCCUGUCCACAUAUAUCUGGACAUAUAUCUGCAUACAUUACAUAAAACAUGUGAUACCUUUUCUGCCUGUAUCCUGCCCACAGGAAAGAUUGUGACACUGCAGGGCCUGGCCGCCAGCCGUUGUGUCUCACCUGAAUGUACAUAACUUUCAGGAGAAAGUUGUAACAUGUGACUGGUUGAAAACCCAGAUGAUGUGACUCUCCUGCCUUUUCACAGCCCUCAGGGAAAAAAUUUACAUAUCAGUGGCCCAGCAUCCAGGUGAUGUGACUCUCCUGGGUGCUUUCUGCCAACAAGUUGAUUGGUAACAUAUAUCUCAUCGCAGCUCACGGGUUUGAUGAUGACUCUAAUACUUCGUACCAGUCAAUAGAAGAGAUAGUGUCUCUCACAGCUAGGCUUAGAAAAAGGAGUAAAAUCCCGGGUCUCCUCUCUGCAUGAAGGUUAUAGCGAAUCACCACUCUCUCAUAUAUUGUAUAAAGCACUCAGAUGAUACAGAGCAUGUCGUCAUAGGACCCAGCAAACAGGUUAGAUCAUGUUUCAUGUAAGCGCUCCCUGACAAUUUUUAGAAUUGUCAUCGUCACACAUGGUAAAAGCCCACUGAUGAGGUCAUAAUUCUCAUGCACAGAUGCAGUCCACAGUUAAAAUUGUAACUAUCAUAUGUAAACGUGGCCACAGUUGAGAUGGUGACUCAUUUCUAAACCCAGCUCAUAGGUGAGUGAGGACUCUCCUCUCUGGACCCAGCCAAUUGAAGAGAUGUUGACCCAUACGUAGACUUAGGACCACAUAAGAUCAUGGGUCCAAAGCAGCGCAAAGUUCUCAGAGUAGGUUGCAACUCAUACAGUCCUCGAGAGAGUGCCCUUACAGGGCCAAGCACACAGGUGAGAUUGUCAAACUUAUAUUCACACCCAGUCAAUAGCAAAGAUUGUCAUUUACUUAAAUAAACACACGCUACUUUUGAGGUUCUGAAUCUCACUUUUGGAGGCAGUUGAAUGUUGGAAAAUUGACUCUCAUUUGUGUGGAUUUUGUCCACAUUUGGGUUAGUGACUCUUUAAUCAAAAUUCAGCACACCUUUGUGACUAACUUCACUAAGGAGCUUUAUUUAUUUAGAGAUGAAGUUUCAUUCUUGUAACCCAGGCUGGAGUGCGGUGGCGUGAUCUCCGCUCACUGCAACCUCUGCCUACUGGGUUCAAGCGAUUCUCCUGCCUGAUUCUCCCAAGUAGCUGGGAUUACAGGUGCCCACCACCAUGUUGGCAUUUUUUGUAUUUUUAGUAGAGAUGGGGCUUCACCAUGUUGGUCAGGCUGGUCUUGAACUCCUGACCUCAAGUGAUCCGCCCACCUCGGCCUCCCAAAAUGCUGAGAUUACAGGUGUGAGCCACCGUGCCCAGUCUAAGGCACACAAUUUGCAAAGGAAAUUGAGGCUCUCGCACAAAUCCAGUCCACCCUGUACUUACACCCAACAUGCAGGAGGUGUUGACUCUCAUCCCUUGACUCAGGACAUGUGUGUAAUUGUUAAUGUCAUGGCAAGACCUUUUGACAAGUGUAAUUGUGACAUAUACCUUGGCCUAGCAUCUGAGUUAUUUGUUGUUUCCUGGGUCCAGCUCACAGUGCCAUAUCACUGGACCCAGACCCUUGGUAAUGUGAUUCUAUUCUGCCUUGAUACAGCCCACAGGGGUCAUUGUGACAUCGCUGGGCAUUGCACCUAGGUGAUUUGAGUCUCCUCUUCUGCCUUGGUGCUGCCCACAGGUGUAUUGUGACAUAUUGCUGGGCGUAUGUUAUGUGACUCUUGCUUGUGCCCUAAACACAUAGGCCAUUGUAACAUUGCUGAGUGCAACACCCAGGUGAUGUAACGCUUCAUCCUGGACCUGUCUACAGAGGGCAUUGUAAUAUAUGUCUUCACCAAUCACCCAGGAAAUGUGACUUUUUAUUCCUGCCUGUUCUGUACUCACAGUGGGUAUUGGGACAUAUUGGGCCUAGCACCUAGCUGAUGUGACUUUUCUUUAUUCUAGGUUCUGACAACAAAGGAGAUUGUGACACAUUGCUGGGCCUAACACUAAGUUGAUGUUAGUUAUUUGCUUUGGCUGUGCCCUUGGAAGGCAUUGAGACAUACUGCUAUGCCCAGCACCAAGAUGAUGUGAGUUCCCUGCCUGAACCCUGAUCACAGGAAGCAUUGUGACCUAUCUGUUGACCCACUGCAAUCUCUCCUGUGGGAAAAGCACAGAUAAAUGCCCUCUUUUACCUACGUGAUUUGACACUCCUCUACUGCCUGGGCCGUGCCCACAGAAUAGAGAGUGACUUAUCACUGGACCAAGCACACCAGUGAUGUAAUUAUUCUGCUCGGUCCUUGCACACACAAGUCACUGUGAUAUAUGUUUGGGCCCAUCACCUAGAUGAUGUGACUCCUCUUCUGGGGUUUGUCCACAGUGGGAAUUGUGAUACAUCGCUUGACGUAGCUCUUAUGUGAUGUGACUUUUCUUUCAUGCUUGGGCCCUUCCUACUGGGAUGAUUGGAACAUAAAGCUGAGCCCAGCACCU